rnacentral:rRNA from 1 species
UACGAAGGGUGCAAGCGUUACUCGGAAUUACUGGGCGUAAAGCGUGCGUAGGUGGUGAGUUAAGUCUGUCGUGAAAGCCCCCGGCUCAACUGGGGAGGGUCAUUCGAUACUGAUCGACUCGAAGGCAGGAGAGGGUAGUGGAAUUCCCGGUGUAGUGGUGAAAUGCGUAGAUAUCGGGAGGAACACCAGUGGCGAAGGCGACUACCUGGCCUGUUCUUGACGCUGAGGCGCGAAAGCUAGGGGAGCAAACGGG